AAUUGGAAAACAAUAGAUUCAUUUUUGCUGCCCUAAAGGUCCUCUAUAAGAGGUCUGUUUUCAUUCUUGGUGAAGCAAAUUUUUUCAUAGAUUAAAAACCCUGAAAAGUUGAAACGGCUGAGUUGAAACAUACAUAAAAUCCUUUGCAUUUUUAGUGGAAAUUGGUCUAGUUCUGCUGUCAUUCUUCAGAGUUUGAAAUCUUUUCAAGAAUUCUGGUCAUUUUGGGUUCAAAAAAAUGGUUUAAAGAGACUGAGUUUGCUGUUUUUGCUGAGCUGAUUCUGCUGAUGCUGUUACUAACUCUUCAUUUUCCUUCUUUCUCUUCCAAUUUCCAGGUACUCUUUUGAACCAUGAGUGGGUAUGAAGUCUGAAUAUGUUGUUGCAUGAAAGACAUGUCUUCCUGAAGAUAUCAAUAAAAUCAUGUUGUUUUAGGGCCUUAUUUUUACAUCUCCUUUAGGCUAUUUAUUUCUGAUUCCAUCUUUCUUGUCCAUUUUAUCAUGUUUUAAGUUUGCUGUGAUGUGUUCCUGUUGUGAAUGGAUCUGUUCUGUAGUAUAUAUUCAAAAUCCGUGAUUAAGAAUGGCAAGUUUGCAUAGCAGUCUUAUUUAAAGUUGUAGUACAAUCAAUUCAGUGUUUAUUAUUCUUUGAAACAAUGAUCUGAACCUUUUGUAAUGUUUUUGAGGUUGGUUUGUUGUUGUGAAGGAUGAAUUCAGGCCCAUGCUGUGUGUAUUUUGGGGGAAAAUUUCAUGUUACUGCAUAAAUACUGUCUAAACUGAUCAUAUCAUAAAUCAAAUGUUGAUAUGGUUAGUAGAAUGUAUGCAUUUGGCAAUUAAUCAUUUGUUUAAAAAUAUUUGGAAGGGAGUUUAGUGUUUGGAAUGAGGCAAAGUUGAGCUUAUACUAAUAGAUGUAUUAUUUAUUUGGAAUCAUGCUUAGUUUUGUUGAUUUGAAUUCGUGAAUCCUAUUAGAUUUAAAUGAUGAGACAAUUGUGUAUGAGUUAUUAUGACAUUAAGUAAUGCAUUUUAUCAUAGAAUGCGACUGAGUAUCAAGAACAUGUUUUGCAUUGGUCUAGAUUUGUAAAAGUUUGACAAUAGUUGUUCUGAUUUCAAGUUCUUAAGAAAUCAAUUGUGCUUAAUUGACCAUGUUGUAUCAUGCUACUGGGCCUUUAGCGUUGGCCCAGUGCUCUUUUGCCACUCAAUUGUGGUUUAUGGACUUUACUCUAGCCCGACUCCCUUUUUGUUUUCGACAUGUAAGUUUACGAAAGCCAAUUGGGCCUGCUGCCAGUUGGGCCUUUCGCACAACCAAAUGCUAGUUUCGUUUUUUUGUUAGUCUAUUAGUUCUUAAGGCUUAAUUUAAUUGUUUGGCCUAGAAUGAAUUCAAAUUACGUUAAGUCUUUAACUAAUUAAUUAGAUCUUUGAUCAAGCUUGAGGUGAGCCAUAUUAGACAAGUUAUAAUUUAUGGCUCUCACAAAUACUAAUUGGACUUUAUUGAUAACUGUUCGUAGGAAAGCCUUUAGGACCAUUUAAAAAUACAAUCGUGAUUGUGUACACAUUCGCGUGACAUAAUUACGAUUCUAAAAACUAAUUCGGAGUAUGCGUUCGCGCAACUUCAAUUAAAUUCGUCUUGACAAUAAGAAAAGAGUUUUUCAUAGGCUAUUAAUUAAUAUAGUUCGAGGUGUGCCAUCCACCUUUUAUUUUACAUGGCCCUUGUAUUAAUUUCAUAAUUUGGAUCUAAUAAAUAACAAAUGAUAGUAGUUUGCUUUAGGCUCAAUUUAGAUUAGUAUUGCGAUUAUAUAUACGUUCGCUUAAUAUAAUUGCAAAUUAAAUUCUUAAAAGACUCGAGGUAUGUGUUCGCGCAACUUCAACCAAACUCUUCUUAAAUAAAUAAACAAAGUGUUAUUAAUUGUGGACACGUUCGCAUGACAUGAUUUUUGACGCGCCAAAGGAAAAGAGUAUCGUGUAACUCAAUUCUUUAAUUACGAAUAAAUCAAGUGAUUAAAAGCGGUUAAAAAGUAAAUGCACAUAGGUCCUAAAAUAAGUAAUUAGACAACUUAAGCCAAGAAAUAAUCACUAAGAGGCCGUGCUAGAACCACGGAACCCGGGAAUGCCUAACACGUUCUCCUGGGUUAACAGAAUUCCUUAUCUAGAAUUUCUGGUUNNNNNNNNNNNNNNNNNNNNNNNNNNNNNNNNNNNNNNNNNNNNNNNNNNNNNNNNNNNNNNNNNNNNNNNNNNNNNNNNNNNNNNNNNNNNNNNNNNNNNNNNNNNNNNNNNNNNNNNNNNNNNNNNNNNNNNNNNNNNNNNNNNNNNNNNNNNNNNNNNNNNNNNNNNNNNNNNNNNACUUCCUCGAUUUGGGAUUUAAAAUAAACCGGUGACUUGGGACACCAUAAUUUAUUCCAAGUGACGACUUUGAUAAAAUAAAUAAUCCCAUUUCGAAUAAUAUCACUUAAAUUGGAAAAACUCCCCUAUAUACCACUCGGGGUAUAAAAAAGGAGGCAUGACAGGUACCGUGUGCUAGUCAAAUAGUCUAGUUAAUAAAUUGUUUAAUUGCACAAGGUAAAUUUUAAUUGAUUUUGAUAUCAUAAAUAUUAGGAUUUCCUAUGUAGUAAUUUAAAUAAGGAAAACUUUAAUAAGCAAACUUUUAAUGGAUUUCAAAGUGCUAAAUAUUAGGAAAAUAAUCCAAUAACUAUUUUGUCUAGUGUAAACUCUAUUUAAAAGGGGUAAAAAAGGUAAACGACAUUUCGCUAAGGAAAUUCGUGUUUUUAAUAUAGUAUAGAUUAUGCUACAUAUAAUGAUUUAGAUAUUUUGACUUAAAGGAUUGAUUGUAUGAAUAUCAAGUAAAUAAGACAUAUAUGUAUACUAGAUGAGAUCAAGCGCGUGCUGAGCAUGCCCCCAACGUUGUGCUUAUGAAGUAGUAGCUUGUAGGUUCUAGCAGGCAAAGGUCAUUUCUACAACCAUCAUUGAUCAUGUAUGACAUGUUUUGAGACAGUAUCAAGAUGAUCUAAUUUUUCUUUAGCUCUAUUUUGCAUAGAGCUAACUCAUCUCGCGCAUCCAACUAAAAGAUAUAUGUGCUUCGAUGGUGUCUGCAAACAUGAAAUUUUAAAUUAUCUGCCAUUAAAAUGUACAACAAUGAGUUAAAACUUUCAUCAUACAAAGAAACGUCCUACUUAUGAAGCAUGAUAACUGAGCUUCUCCAAAAUGAAGCAAAUUGAUGUAAAUUCACAAUGCCCAUCUCAUGGCCUAUGGACCAAAUCUAUUACUCUAAUAUCAAAAAUAGAAAAGAAAUAAUAGUCAACAUUAAUUUAAAUCAAGAUAAAAAUCAUAACAUUUUAUUUUCUAUAUUUCAGAUAUGGGAUUUUCUUGUAACAACAUCAAUUAAAGUACUUACCUUUUUUAUAUGUUCACAUUAGUUAUAAUUAUAACAAUUGAUACCUAAUUCAAAACUUGAUGAUGACAAUGAUUUACAUUUUGAGCUUGUAAAAUUUUUUGAGGGGCUCCAACAACAAAUUCAAAGUAUUUGGACUCUUUUCUCGAAUGAAGCAUCAGAAUUUGGAGAAGGAACAGGGUAUAAUAACCCUAUUGUAUAACAAUCUUUCACCCCUUAGAGGUCUUAAACAUGCAUGCUAAAAGAAGGAGGGUAGUUCGCAAGAUAUUGCAUAAACUAUCACCUUAUCUUGAGUUCCAUAAGUCUAUCAACUUUUUCCAGCGCCCCUCCAUAUACUUAAUAUUCUACAACUUGUUAAGCUUCUUGUUUCAACUUUUAUUCGUGACAUUUUUAUGUUAACACCUCGACACAUAAUUAAAUAUACAUGCUUCAAAAAAGUUGCAAACUUUUUCACUUCAAUCUUUCCUGAAUUAAUUCUUUUUCUCGCCAACUUAAUGGAUCUUCUAAAGUUUCAACCUAUUAAAAAUCCAAUACAGAAUAUACUUUUAUGAUGAAAAGAAAAGGUUAACGGAAAAUUUCAACAUCAAAAGUUAUCAAUUACUGAAAAUUUUAUUGAGCGCAAGAGCCACUAAGUCCAAGCAAACUCUUAUUUUCUUUUGUAAACACAAAGCUUUCAACUCUACACAUGUUUUUCUCUUUUUUUCGGCAAAUAAGACUCUAGAUAUCAGAAUACUAAAAGUUAAAGUAAAAUGAAACAAUAAAAAAUAUAAAAUAGUUGAAAAGAUAUUAAAAAGCUAAAUAUAAAAACCUGAUUAGUAUAGGUCUAUAGGACAAUCUUCCAAUCAAAGCUUUAAAAUUCACAUAAAAAGGGCUACCAACAUAAUAAGAUGAUCUUUUAGGAGUAAUUAAAUGUUGAAACAGUCCAUAAAAAAGUUAAGUUUUUCCAGGUAUCACCCAUUUACGACAUUAAUAAGAUUGAGAAAAAACCAUAAAAUGCAAUAAGAUGAACGUAUGACCUACUUAUGAGAACAUAUCAUAAUGUAUCUGGCAGUCUGGCACUACAGAGACAAACACUGCAACUGCAAGCUAGUAGCAAUUACACGAAGAACUCGAGAAGAGAACCUUCGGGAUAGGGGUUGGAGUAUACCCACAUUUAAAAUAGAAUUAGCUGAGAAGUUUCUUCUACGAAAAGGUUUUCAAAAGGAGUUUUUCCAAUAUAGCUAUGAGAAACCAAAUACAACAUACAAACAAUUACUUAAUAAUAGAUUUUCUAACACUGAACAGUCAUACUCUGACGAAAGUUUGAUUCACUUUCAGAUAAUCAUUAAAUCAUAAACUUAGGAAGUCAUGUUUAAAGAUAGGUCAAAUUAUAAGAAGUCAUAUCUAAAGAUCUCAAAUUUAUCAUAGUAUAGUCAAAAGAAAGAAAGAAAAAGGCUUAAUCAACUCUUAACCGGAAGCUACAAAAGGCCUUUCAAAACAUAUCAGAAAUGGAACGCCAUUGUUACUUGAACACGAAAGCAUGUAUCUACAAGAGCCAAAUAAUAGGAACGUAUCAUAUUCACAUGUCAAACAAAUAUAUCAUUGUUCCCUAAUAUUGGAGAAUGAAGCAGUCAAAUUUACCUUAUAACAAUUUCAUUUCCUUUUCAAACUCUCUUCAAUGGAAAACAAUAAACAAGUUAUUGUUUUUAAUUAUCUGCUAACUCUUCCUCUUUAAAUAAAACAAAAAUUAUUCAUAUCCAAGUUCUGUAGAAAGAAACAACAUAGUUUUUAAGAAUCAUCAAAAUAUUGCAUCCUAACAAUAGUAGGAAAUUUCAUUCACGAAUGAAAAGCAUAAACAUAGUACUCCUAUUAGAUAAUUUUCAAACCAAGGAUUAAAGGAAGAAAAUGACAAAUUCAAGUUUAACAAAUAGACGAAGCAUCCUAACAAAUCAGAAUUUGUCUAGUAAGUAUUUGAAGGAGACAUCACUUAGCAUAAAUAAUAUCAAUAAAUACACUUCAAAGAGAGCAAAUAUUCCCCUUAAUUUUGAUCAUACAUCGAAAAACUCAAAAUUCUAAAUCUGGAAGCCUUGUUUGAAGAAAGUAUCUGGAAUAGUAGAUUUUGCUAAUCUGAUUAUAUAUGAAAUACAUAUGAGUUUUUAAGAUACUUCAUCUGCUCGAUUAAUCUUCCACCGCAAUUACCUAUAUCAUAAAGGAAAAGGUUUAAAACAAAGAGGAGUAAGAGGAAAACUCAAAAUUUGCUUCUAGAGAGAGAAGAGAAUUUGGCCAAUAUAACAUGAAAAAUCAUUAUUCUACCUAAACUAUAAAUUUGCUCUCUAAUUGUUUGCACAACUGAAAGAGUAUUCUCUGGAAUUGGAAGUGAAAGUAUGAAGAAAGAGAAUUGAAGUAGUAGAAGAGAUGGAAAAAUCAGAUGUUUCUAGUCCUAGGUUUAGUGCUUGUGGGAAAAGAAAAUUGUAAAAUUAGUAUGAAAUGACUAUUUUGCCCUUGGUCGACCAUGCUGGCUUUUCUAUAUAAUAAAAAAAAUAUGCAUACAAGAUAUUAAAAAUGUGUAAAGAUCUCAUGUUAAUUUUAUACCAGAACAAUUGAUACGCAUGCGGUGGUAUAAGGAUAUGGGUUGAUACGCAUGUGGUGAGACAAGGUGGGCUAAAACGCGGGUAGCUAUUUUGGGAAAAAUGAUUUUUAAAACUAAAUGUAACGCUCCCGCAGUGAUAUAAGGAAAGAUUGUGAUUUUAAUUGUGAAAUGAGACUACGAGGUGAUACCUCGGUAGUGAUUCUUGUUGCUAUCUUCCAUUUACAUCACUUGUGUCUUAUCUGCAUCGUUUUCUUGGCAUUCUUAUUAUGUGCUCCUUCCGUGAUAUCUUUAUUGUCUUAACUUUCGAUAUAGCUUACCUUGUUGAUUUCUUCAUUAUUUCAUUCCUUGUUUCUAUUAUUAUAUUGUACUAUACAUGUUCAGUUUCUUUAUUUAUUCCAUUAGGUGUCUUGACCUGACCUCGUCACUACUCUACCGAUGUUAUGCUUGAUACUUACUGGGUACCGUUGUGGUGUACUCAUACUACACUUAUGCACAUCUUUUUAUGCAGAUCCAGGUACUUCAUACCAGCUUAGGCAUCCGUGAGUUGAGCUUUGGAUUGAGGACUUCAAAGUAUACCUGCCGGCGUUCGCAAGCCUCAGAGUCACUCUCUAUCUUUGUCUCUUUUCUUCUGUUUACUCU
rnacentral:lncRNA from 1 species